rnacentral:lncRNA from 1 species
GGUUAGUGCACGGUUAGCUGUCUUUCAGUUUCGAUGCAGUACUUAAAGUGAACUAUUAAACAUUUCAAAAUUUUUGUGAAGUAGCGUAAUGUGGUAAAGCAGAUUAAGUGUGUAUCCAACAUUAUAGUGAAAUCCAUGUGAAUGGAAAAUAGCAUUAUCCAGGCUGUUCUUCAAUUGCAAACAAAGAGAAUUAAGAUAGGAACAAACGCAAAAUAUCCAACUGAAAUUCUCUUCAUAUUCAUGGUAAUUUUGGAAAAUCUUCUGUCCAGAGAAUAACACCUUAAAAGAAAGAACUGUGGCUGUGAUAAUGUAGCAGUAUUGUGUGAAUCUGUCGCCGCCAUUCCACAGCGCAGACUGACCCAUUGGGAUGGUGAAACUGACGAGAAAACGCUGAAAUUCAAGAAAAUUAUGUAGAUGUAGAUAAAUGACAAGUGCAUAUCUGGGCUCCCUUCUUUUCUGUGGCCCCGUUUCCCUAACUAACCACUAACCA